GCUGAUGAUGAUGGUGCUGAAG
rnacentral:miRNA from 1 species